GAUUUGUAGGUACAGUGCGUGACUUUUUAAAUACGGUUUUAUUAACGGAAACUAAAGCAAACAUAUCUAACUGGCACAGCUUCUGGAGGAAGUUCUUGAGAAGUUUAUGAGAAAGAAUGACCGCUCCAGUUGAGAUAAAGGUGCGCGUCACGCCAGCCAGUGUGUGGUGCGCUGCGUCGUGCACGUGACCCCACACAUCAGCCGCCGCGCUGCGUAGGGAUACGACACAUCGUGUAGACCAUCUCGAAAACAACCACCCUCGUUUGUGGAACAAAGUCUGCCCUGUUGCCUCAUCUCCACCGAGAUCCGUCUCAUCUGAAUCCUGGCAGCCAGUGCUCUGAAUGCUGUGUACGUGUAUAAAGAGCUGGAUUUCUGUGAGGC